rnacentral:rRNA from 1 species
AAGAUAAGCCAUGCAUGUCUAAGUAUAAGCAAUUAUACCGUGAAACUGCGAAUGGCUCAUUAAAUCAGUUAUCGUUUAUUUGAUAGUACCUUACUACUUGGAUAACCGUGGUAAUUCUAGAGCUAAUACAUGCUGAAAACCCCAACUUCGGGAGGGGUGUAUUUAUUAGAUAAAAAACCAACGCCCUUCGGGGCUUCUUGGUGAUUCAUGAUAACUUCACGGAUCGCAUGGCCUUGCGCCGGCGACGGUUCAUUCAAAUUUCUGCCCUAUCAACUUUCGAUGGUAAGGUAUUGGCUUACCAUGGUUUCAACGGGUAACGGGGAAUUAGGGUUCGAUUCCGGAGAGGGAGCCUGAGAAACGGCUACCACAUCCAAGGAAGGCAGCAGGCGCGCAAAUUACCCAAUCCCGACACGGGGAGGUAGUGACAAUAAAUACUGAUACAGGGCUCUUUUGGGUCUUGUAAUUGGAAUGAGUACAAUUUAAACCUCUUAACGAGGAACAAUUGGAGGGCAAGUCUGGUGCCAGCAGCCGCGGUAAUUCCAGCUCCAAUAGCGUAUAUUAAAGUUGUUGCAGUUAAAAAGCUCGUAGUUGAAACUUGGGCCUGGCUGGCAGGUCCGCCUCACCGCGUGUACUUGUCCGGCCGGGCCUUUCCUUCUGGAGAACCUCAUGCCCUUCACUGGGUGUGUUGGGGAACCAGGACUUUUACUUUGAAAAAAUUAGAGUGUUCAAAGCAGGCCUUUGCUCGAAUACGUUAGCAUGGAAUAAUAGAAUAGGACGUGCGGUCCUAUUUUGUUGGUUUCUAGGACCGCCGUAAUGAUUAAUAGGGACAGUCGGGGGCAUCAGUAUUCAAUUGUCAGAGGUGAAAUUCUUGGAUUUAUUGAAGACUAACUACUGCGAAAGCAUUUGCCAAGGAUGUUUUCAUUAAUCAGUGAACGAAAGUUAGGGGAUCGAAGACGAUCAGAUACCGUCGUAGUCUUAACCGUAAACUAUGCCGACUAGGGAUCGGGCGAUGUUCUUUUUCUGACUCGCUCGGCACCUUACGAGAAAUCAAAGUUUUUGGGUUCUGGGGGGAG